rnacentral:rRNA from 1 species
UACGUAGGGGGCGAGCGUUACCCGGAUUUACUGGGCGUAAAGCGCGUGUAGGCGGCUGGCCAAGCGUGGUGUGAAAUCUCCGGGCUUAACCCGGAAACUGCAUUGAAUACUAUCCUACUUGAGGGUUGGAGGGGGGACUGGAAUUCUCGGUGUAGCAGUGAAAUGCGUAGAUAUCGAGAGGAACACCAGUGGCGAAGGCGAGUCCCUGGACAACACCUGACACUGAGGCACGAAAGCUAGGGGAGCAAACAGG